GCAGGAAGACUACCUGCUUUGAUAGGCAGCAUGUGUAAGCGCAGUAAUGCGUUCAGCUAAGCUGUACUAAUGGCCGAGGGCUUAAUCAC
rnacentral:ncRNA from 1 species